UAUGUCCAUACCACAUUGAAAGACCAGUUCUCGUUUGAUCACCAGAGUUAAACAACACUGAGCAUGGUUAGUAUCUAGGUGGGUGACCACUUGGGAAUAUCAAGUGCUGCAAG